UAUGGCAGAUUUAAGUUGAU
rnacentral:tRNA from 1 species